CGGGCGCCCAAAUCAACGGGCGCGGACAUCGCAGAUAAAGGACGACGCAAAAUGGACAGAGACGGUGGAGUUUCAAUGGCAUUACCUGCUUCUUCGGGGGGCGGAUUGUUGGGCAGCAAAUGCAGUGUUCAAAGUGGACAAUUGGGAAUUUGCAGAUCGUCUGUGGGCUUGGGGUUUCAUUUUUUAUUUUUAACUGGAUUCUUGCGAUUUGAGUCCAAUUUUCGGGAAUAGCAGUCAAAAGCGGGUCUUCACACACUGAAGAAAGUCCAACCGCAGGAGAUGCAAACUUGCAUUAUAGUGUGUAUAAAUCCGGGUUGUGGUUGAAUUCAACCCUUGAAUGAAGAUGGCCUAGCGCUUUCGACUAUUAAGUCAUCAUCAGGGACGACGGGUUACUGUGAAUGGGUCGAACUGGAGCAGUUUUCACUUUCCCCCAAAGGAAAUUUUCUAUAUGAAACAGCAAUAUAAUCAGUGGCGGGCGCUGCACUACCGCAGAGCUCCCAUAGGGAGAAAGAUUUGCUUGCGCGGUUUGCUCUUACCUCCGAUGAGCUACAAGCGCGAAGGGCAAUCCACGCAAGUUAAGUUUCUUUUUCUGUAAACGAGAUAUUUUUGAGGUAGAUUUUUGCACGGUUUUUAUAGAAUAGCGAAAAGGUGUGCGUCAAGUGCAAACCAGGCAAGAAAAAUCUCUUGCUCUUUAAGGGUACGUGAUAAUCGCGGACACGCGAAAAACGUGGAGCGAGGCGAUGGGAGACGAAAUAUGUAGUUUGUGUUUUGUCGGCGACCGCAGCGAAUUUUGUCACUCUUUAGCUGAAUUUUUUUGAAAAACUCACUUUUGGAGAAAAUUUCUGGAAGUUUUCUGGAUUUUUCAGUCACUAAGUCGAAGCGAUUGAGCGUUUGGGAACACGGAUUUUUCAAAAAUUCGCCAACGAAAAACUAAAAAUUUCUGAAUGCGGCUGAUAACAUCACUGGAAAGAGCAAAUGCGGUGCUUUACAUGUGGAAAAACGGACUUUAAUCGGGAAUUUCUAAGUGUGUCCAGGAUUUUUCGGAUACUAAAAUAGAAUCGAUUGAUCGUUGGCAACACCGAUUUUUUUAAAAUUCGCCACGGAAAAACCAACAAAACCAGCAGCUUUAAAGGAGGAAAAACUCACUUUCCAGGGAAAUUUCUGAGAGUGUCCAGUAUUUUUGCAGUUACUAAGACAAGGCGAUUGGCCGUUGCAAAACACCAAUUUUUCACAAACUUGACCCGAAAAAGCCAAAAAUCCCGCAAUCUUGAACAUAAUUUCACUCGAAAGAGAAAAUCUGCACCUUUUGAAAAAGGAAAACCCAGUUUUAAUAGGAAAUUUCUGGGAGUUUUAAUGAUUUUUUCGGAUACCAAAUGGAAGCGAUUGAUCGUUGGCAACACCGAUUUUUCAAAAAUUCGCCACGGAAAAACCAAGAAUUUCUCAAGCAUGCCCAGAAUAUCACGCGAAAGAGAAAACCGACGGCUUUAAACGAGGAAAAACUCACUUUCUAGGGAAAUUUCUGAGAGUUUCCAGUACUUGGAAAGGCAAGGCGAUUGGCUGUUGGAAAACACUAAUUUUUCACAAAUUUUACCCGAAAAAGCCAAAAAUCCCGCAAUCUUGUUUCAUUUGAUUGAUUUGUGAUCAUCAGGGGCGACGGCUCUGAUGAUGACUUAAAAGUCGAAAGCGCCAGGCCAUUUUUAUUCAAUGGUUGAAUGUAACCACAACCCGGAUUUAUACACGCUAUAAUGCAAGUUUGCAUCCCCUGUGAUUGGAUUGAAAUUUGCCAACUUGAUCAAGUUUUGUCAGGUUUUUGCCCCACCUUUACGAUUCCUGCAGGAGACUUUUUCCAUUUUUAUGUUCACUGAUUUUUUUAAACAGAGAUUCGCGUGUCCUGAUGUAAAAGCCGCAUUUUUCCAUUGUGUCUUUUUCAAUGAAAUUCUGGAAAACCAUUCAAUUUCUUCGGAAUUUCAAGAAACACCCAAACUUAUCAGUCCCUUAAUUAAAAUGUUGAACGCCUUUUUUAAAACCUGGUUUUCUUCAGCAAAUGAAAAGCUGCGCAAAACUUUGCAAAGCCGCUUCACAAUUUUCCCGGAAGCUUAAACGACUUUCGCACCCAUUGAAACUGUCCACAGUUUAAAGGUUCCACACCCCCAACAAUCCGACCCCAAACAAGUUGUACAGUUUAGCGUAGAACUUAAGAACCAUUACGAUAUUACCCCAUAAGUGCGUUAACCCUAAUCGAUAAUUUAUUAGCCCUUAUUAUGAAAAUAGCGUUAUUACUUGUAGCAGACAGAUACAUAUUCAGAAUGUGCAUGUUACACACUGAUGGUCAAAAUUGCUCAAAUCAAGCUGGAUCGAAUUGAAUGGAAACCGGAGUCCGCUGUUAUCCAAAGAUGCUUAAACGGUGUAGCAACGUGUAGACGAUUUAAGUCCCCAAUUGGAGGUGAAAAUUAAGCGUUAGAGACGAAGCAACCACCAUCUUCGCGAUGUGCUUUCCUCUGUAUAUACGUACAUUCUUAGGUACUUAGGGCGUUCGUCAGGUAUAUAAUUUAAUAACAAUUGCAUAUGUUUAUCAAUUAAGUGCCAUUUGUACUGUUUAAUGGUAUAGUUAACGGAAUUGUGUACAUAAUUAGGAGGAUGUUCAAUAAAUAUUUAUGAGGAAAUGUA